CGAUGUGCAUGUGAACUUCACUAAAGAAGAAUGGAAUUUGCUGCAUCCUUCCCAGAUGAAUCUCUACAAAGAUGUUAUGUUGGAGACCUACUGGAACCUUACUUCUAUAGGCUACAAAUGGGAAGACCAUCAUAUUGAAGAACCAUGUCAAAGUUCUCAAAGACAUACAAGACUACAAAUGGGAAGACCAUCAUAUUGAAGAACCAUGUCAAAGUUCUCAAAGACAUACAAGGUAAUUUUCAUGUGCAAGCUGAUACAAAUAUGUCUGUGAGGAAAUUGUAAUAAGUCCUGGAAGUUCUAAAGAAAAGCAAGAGUGUCAAAUAUCAGUCCAUUGCCUGUAGGUAUGAUUAUGAUAUUCUCGCAAGUGCGUGUACCUCAGAGCCUAUUAUCUGAUUUGUGGUUCCAGUGCAUUCCUCUAUGAAUGGAAACAAGGAAACAAUGCCUUAAGAGAUCCCUUUAUUUGAUUUGUAGCUCCAUUAAACCUAUGCUAUGGAAC
rnacentral:lncRNA from 1 species